rnacentral:lncRNA from 1 species
AACUCACAGUCUGACCAGAGGAUGGUUGCGUUGAUGAGGUCUGUAUGGGCCACCCUUUCAUGUAUGACUGCUGUGCUGUGUAGCACUUAAGCUCUGCAAUGUUGAUUCUUCAGGCUUUGUAUUUUCCUUUCAGCUUGUAUUAAGCAUAUGUUGCUUCUCUGUACACAGGCAUCUCAAAGAAUUUCUCAGCUGCCUUUCUGUCAUCCCUGAGUCCAAAUUACAACUGUCAAUUAUACAUGAAAGGACAGAUGACCUUCCAAAACACACUGUCUAUCUGGCCUGCUAACUGCUUGGAGUUAAGUUUUUGAAGAACUCUUCUUAUGGAAGUGGUGAGAGAGAGGGAUAUGUGCUUGGGUUUUACCUGAGGGGAACUGGGGUUCUUCCAGGUUGCAACAGCCAGACC